UACUUAUUACUACUAGUUGAUUUAUGCCACAUUUUUUCCCAAAAAGCUUUCAAAUAACUUACAAAGGCACAUAAAAAUGUACAACCUAGCAUGAGGGCAUAAAUAAGCCAUGGUUUUUGUAGAGUGAAGGAAAAUCCCUAGAAGUGCCAGAUUCUGUUUCACAUGGAAGAGAGAAUAAUGACAUGAUAAGUAAGUAGACUAGAAUGUUGAUUUGACGUCAGCUAAGUUGUAAUGAGAGGAUGAGUUGGUAGAAUGUCUUAUUUCCUUUAUAAGUUAUGUAAACAUUGAUUUUAAAAACAUUAACACAUACUUAAUCUUUUUAGGCAUAUUUUUCAUAGAAUAUGCAUUGACCCAUGGCUUUUGGAUCACCGAACAUGUCCAAUGUGUAAACUUGAUGUCAUCAAAGCCCUAGGAUAUUGGGGAGAGCCUGGGGAUGUACAGGAGAUGCCUGCUCCAGAAUCUCCUCCUGGAAGGGAUCUGGCUGCAAAUUUGAGUCUAACUGUACCAGAUGAUGAUGGAAGUGAUGAGAGCAGUCCACCAUCAGCCUCCCCUGCUGAAUCUGAGCCACAGUGUGAUCCCAGCUUUAAAGGAGAUGCAGGAGAAAAUACGGCAUUGCUAG
rnacentral:sRNA from 1 species